rnacentral:rRNA from 1 species
CAGUCGCCCGGUAAUACGUAGGGCGCAAGCGUUGUCCGGAAUUAUUGGGCGUAAAGAGCUCGUAGGCGGUCUGUCGCGUCUGGUGUGAAAUCCCGAGGCUCAACCUCGGGCUUGCAUCGGGUACGGGCAGACUAGAGUGCGGUAGGGGAGACUGGAAUUCCUGGUGUAGCGGUGGAAUGCGCAGAUAUCAGGAGGAACACCGAUGGCGAAGGCAGGUCUCUGGGCCGCAACUGACGCUGAGGAGCGAAAGCAUGGGGAGCGAACAGGAUUAGAUACCCGUGUAGUCCCUGUCUCUUAUACA